AACGAACGCUGGCGGCAUGCCUAACACAUGCAAGUCGAACGAGACCUUCGGGUCUAGUGGCGCACGGGUGCGUAACGCGUGGGAACCUGCCCUUAGGUUCGGAAUAACUCCCCGAAAGGGGUGCUAAUACCGGAUAAUGUCUUCGGACCAAAGAUUUAUCGCCUUUGGAUGGGCCCGCGUUGGAUUAGCUAGUUGGUAGGGUAAAAGCCUACCAAGGCGACGAUCCAUAGCUGGUCUGAGAGGAUGAUCAGCCACACUGGGACUGAGACACGGCCCAGACACACAGGGGAGGGAGGAGUGGGGAAUUGAGAAAAAGGGGAAAAAGCUGAAUCCCCAACGGCCGCGGGAGGGAAAAAGCCUUUAGGGUAAAAACCUUUUUUCCCCCGGGAGAAUAAGGACAGUCCGGGAAAAAAAAACCCGGACACCCCCCGUC
rnacentral:rRNA from 1 species